rnacentral:rRNA from 1 species
AGUUUGAUCAUGGCUACAGAACGAACGCUGGCGGCGUGGAUAAGACAUGCAAGUCGAACGGGACACUGUGAGUAGCAAUACAAGCAGUGUCUAGUGGCGAACGGGUGCGUAACACGUGGAUACAUUCCGGGAAGCGGGGGAUAGCCCAGGGAAACUUGGAUUAAUACCGCAUGUGGUCGAAAGACUAAAGGCAGGGACCGCAAGGCCUGCCACUUCCCGAUUGGUCCGCGGCCUAUCAGCUAGUUGGCGGGGUAAAAGCCCACCAAGGCUACGACGGGUAGCUGGUCUUAGAGGACGACCAGCCACACUGGAACUGAGACACGGUCCAGACACCUACGGGUGGCAGCAGUCGAGAAUCUUUCACAAUGGGGGCAACCCUGAUGGAGCGACGCCGCGUGGAGGAUAAGGUCUUCGGAUUGUAAACUCCUGUCAUGUGUGAACAAGGUUGCAGAGUUAAUAGCUAUGCAAAUUGAUGGUAACACAAGAGGAAGAGACGGCUAACUCUGUG